ACCCGUUCUCAGGGCGGGGUGAAAGUCCCCACCGGCGGUAUGCGGUGGUUGCCGCGAGCCCGCGAGCGCUCUUCGGCUUCGAAGGGAUCAGCAGAUCAGGUGCGGUGCCUGAGCCGACGGUCAUAGUCCGGAUGAGAGAGAACGUAC
rnacentral:ncRNA from 2 species